rnacentral:sRNA from 1 species
ACACAAGAAGGGAGGUGGUCCGCGAAAUUGAUAGCUUCAUGGACAUGUGAGGUGGCUGCGAGCUAGCUGCAUUGGCUCGGCAGAUUCUUCGACCAUCGCGCUGGCGAAUCUCCCGUAGCCACCCGGCCCCCGAGCUUCCGGUCCGUCCAACCGGAAUAUGGCUCGGGGGCCGCUCCAU